rnacentral:rRNA from 1 species
GAAUUGAAGAGUUUGAUCAUGGCUCAGAUUGAACGCUGGCGGCAGGCUUAACACAUGCAAGUCGAACGGUAGCACAUAGGAGUUUGCUCCUUGGGUGACGAGUGGCGGACGGGUGAGUAAUGCUUGGGAAUCUGGCUUAUGGAGGGGGAUAACUACUGGAAACGGUAGCUAAUACCGCGUAAUGUCUUAGGACUAAAGGGUGGGACCAUUUGGCCACCUGCCAUAAGAUGAGCCCAAGUGGGAUUAGGUAGUUGGUGAGGUAAAGGCUCACCAAGCCCGCGAUCUCUAGCUGGUCUGAGAGGAUGACCAGCCACACUGGAACUGAGACACGGUCCAGACUCCUACGGGAGGCAGCAGUGGGGAAUAUUGCACAAUGGGGGGAACCCUGAUGCAGCCAUGCCGCGUGAAUGAAGAAGGCCUUCGGGUUGUAAAGUUCUUUCGGUGACGAGGAAGGCGAUUGUUUUAAUAGAACAGUCGAU